AAUUUGUGCCCACGCAGGCAGUUUGUAUACUAAUAUUGGAGCAACACAGAGAAGAUGAGCAUGGCCAUUGUGCAAGAAUGAUACGCAGAUUCUUGAAGCAUUCCAAACUUUU